GCGCCAUUUUUUUUCUCUACCUAAUGGCGUUGAAAUACCUGAAACCUAAUAAUCACAAUACCUUCUCCUUCAACUCCAUCUUUCAUAAAUGUAAAUCAAUGGCAGAAUUCAAACAAACCCAUGCUCGUCUCAUCGUAAAUGGUUUACCUUAUCCUCAACCAUCUCUUCGACUAGUUAUUUCAUUCUCUGCACUUCAUCCUACUGGCGAUAUCGAUUACGCGCUUCUACUCCUUCUCCGAACCCCUGUACAACCAACAAAUUUUCUCUUCAAUACUGUGAUUCGUGGGCUUGCGCGGUCGGUUCGUUCUGAUGCUGUCUCUAAUUCUGUUGCACUACUUCGUAGAAUGGGUGAAUAUGAUUUAUCUCCCAAUAAUUUUACUUAUACUUUUCUUUUCCAGUGUUGUGCGAAGUUUGUUGGUUUUGAUUUAGGUUUGCAGUUUCAUGUUGGGGUGAUUAAGAGGUGUUUUCAUUUUGAUGUGUGUGUCUGUAAUUCAAUGAUUCAGUUCUAUUCAGUUUGCGGUAAAUUAGAUGAUGCCAAGAAAGUAUUUGAUGAAUGUACUCAAAGAGAUAUUGUAACGUGGAACUCAUUGAUUAGUGGGUAUUUAAGAAAUGGAGAUAUUUUAGAAGCACUGGGUGUUUUUGAAAAAAUGCCUGAAAGAAAUGAGGUUUCUUGGAAUAGUUUGAUGGGUGGUCUUGUUCGAGCAAGUUAUUUAGAUGAGGCGCGACGUCUUUUUGAUGAGAUGACGAAAAGGAAUGUUGUUAGCUGGGCUGUGAUGAUAUCUGGGUAUUGUCAAAAUGGUUAUCCAAGAGAAGCUCUGGCCUUGUUUAGGGAGAUGCAGUCAUUGGAUUUGGAACCGAAUUUUGCAGUUUUGGUGAGUGUUCUUUCUGCUUGUGCACAAUUAGGAGCUUCUGAUCAUGGGAGUUGGGUUCAUUCCUACAUUAAGAAGAACAAUGUAAAGAUGGAUUCGAUACUUUCUGCAGCUUUGAUUGAUAUGUAUGCGAAAUGUGGUAAUAUUAGUCUGGCUAUGCAAGUAUUUGAUUCUUCAGAGGAGAAAAAUAUAUCCACUUACACAGCUGCAAUAUCAGGGUUGGCGUACAAUGGGUAUAAUGAAGAAUCAAUUCGGAUUUUUGAGAAAAUGAAGAGUGCAAGAAUCACACCAGAUCAUAUUUCCUAUCUAGCAGUAUUAUGUUCUUGUAGCCACAUGGGUUCAGUUGAAAAAGGUUUUCAUUACUUCAAUUCAAUGGUUGAGGUUCAUGGCAUCAAACCGGAGCUGGAUCAUUAUACAUGCAUGGUUGAUCUUCUUGGUCGUGCAGGUUUGUUGGAAGAAGCUGAAAGAUUCAUAAAUACCAUGCCAAUAACUCCAGAUAAUGUCAUAUGGGGUGCCCUUCUCAGUGCAUGCAGGACUCACAGCAAUGCCGAAAUGGGAGAAAGAGUUGGGAAUUACUUACUUGAAUCUGAUCCAGGACAUGAUGGGCGUUAUGUUCUCCUUUCAAACAUUUAUGCAGUGUCAAUUAAAGGAGACUGUGUAGAAGAAAUUCAGAGAACUAUGAGAAGGAGAAGAAUUAAACGUGUUCCUGGGUGCAGUUCAAUUGAGGUUGAUGGCAUUGUUUAUGAAUUUGUUGCCGGAGACAAGUCCCAUGAUAAGACAGGUAAAAUUUACUCAGUGUUGGAGGAGAUGGUUACAGAGAUAAAGAAACUUGGAUAUGCACCAGAGACAAAGGGGGUUGUGUUUGAUGUUGAAGAAGAGGAAAAAGAAACUGUAGUUGGUUAUCACAGUGAAAAAUUGGCUGUUGCAUUUGGGUUUAUUAGCAAAGAACCAGGCUCAGUUCUUCGCAUCGUGAAGAAUAUUCGUAUUUGUAGUGACUGCCAUUCUGCAAUUAAACUUGUUUCUAAGGUUUUUAAACGGAAGAUUGUGGUUAGAGAUCGUAGACGCUUUCAUCACUUUGAAGAUGGAUUUUGUUCUUGUAAUGAUUACUGGUAAGCAAUACCUAUUUAAAAUUGUGCAUUGAUUACUCUUUCUUGAAAGCCGAAAAAAAAAUAUUCUUUGGAGGGUAACCUAUGGAAUGGGUCCAGUUAGGUCUUUGGAGGAGACCAAAUCAAAAUGUUGUGUAAGAGGAACCACAACCUUUAUGGAAAAUAUGUGCUCUGCUAUAGAGUCUCCUGCAAUGUCAAUCAUCGAAGUUUAACGUGAAGCAGCAUGACUAUCAGAAGAAGGUACAACGUAUCGACAAGAAAUCAAGUCUGCCCGAAAAACUGUAAAGCAUAUACUCUAAAGGAAGUAUACACUGAUUAUGGGAAGGCCAGAAACCUUGCUUAAGAAGAAGUCGAGAAACGCUCUCUAUUGAGGCAGAUAUGGUUGAGUGGCUCCUCUCUUUGCCAUGAUCUGGAAUCAUAAGAGAUGUUCCCUAUUAAUUGCUCUCUAUUGAGGCAGAGAUGGUUGAGUUGCUCCUCGCCUUGCCAUGAUCUGGAAUUAUAAGAGAUGUU